GUGAUUGUAGCUCAGUUGGUUAGAGCGCCUGGUUGUGGCCCAGGAGGUCGGGGGUUCGAGUCCCCUCAUUCACCCCA
rnacentral:tRNA from 1 species